GAUAACAGCAGAGACAUCACAGGACAGGAUCAUCCAUUACAUAAGCCAGGAAGGUCUGCUGCAGAUCGGUACACUUUUUGACACUUAGUGCACCCUCCCCACCGCUGACCCUUUUAUCCUGCUUUGUCAUCUGCUUUGCCGUCAACACUGCACGUGACGCAGGUACAGCCACAUGGGAACCCUGGAUACCAUGGGUGCUCCCUGCACCUGGAUGCACCUCAUUAUGUAAACUCUGCAACAAACACAGACAACUGAGCUUAGAAAGCCUUUCAAAACACCAGUUUUUGUCUCAGUGUCCAAAAGGAGGCCCAAGAAAUGGAAACUAUACAUACAGGCGUUUUCUCCAACUCUCUCCUCGCCGGCUUCCUGCAACAGUGCCACGAUGCUACAAAAGCCGACCACAGCCUGCAAAUGACGCUCGGUGCUCAAAAGGAGGCUGAGCAGGAACACGCCACCUCGUGAACAUGUAAACUUUAAUCACCUGUCUAAACAUUUCCACGAAACGACUCCUUACUCAGACAUCAAUGGAGGAGUGAGCUCCAGACACUGACUGGUCGUAUGCAGGAGAGAGAACAGAAAUAUGAAAAGAGUUCAAUAAGGUAAAUUACACUUUGUACCUUCGCUGUACCUGCGCUGACAGUCAGAGCUUGAAAUGCCUGCAGCGAGGAUUCUAUGCGGAUUGUCAAUUUUGCAACAGGGAGAGGAUUAAAAAAAGGAAGCAGCUUGAGAAUCUCUAUAAGAUGUUCUUGUUUGUGUCUGCAGAUCCUCAGACUGUUGGUUUCACGUAAGCAGGUGGCAGAAAACCAGAGGUACACAGUUGAUAGAUUGCUAGAUACCCACAAUUCAACCUCCUGAUUAGAACAGUACAAGAUUACACAUUUGAAUGUAAACACUUGUAUACUUUCCACAGCCUUGCCGAGGUCUUGGCACAACAAAUGUCUUCCUGUGAGUAUGAUCAGCAUCAUUUGUCUCAAGAGCCAGCGACAGCAAAACAUUUUACACAGCGGCGUAUGAUAAAAACAAACCAAACAAAACAAAACAAAAAUCAAUGACUGCAUCAGUUGUUAAGAUUUCAAAGAGUGGUAGCCGUCACAUUCAGUUAGAGAGGGCAGAAAUGGAAGAUGCUCCUGUCUGACAAAUGAAUGAAAAAAUAAGUGGGAAAAAAAAGAAAGAAAAAUAAUUGCCUAUUUUCAUGUCGGCAUUUCCCACUGAAAUGCUCCCAUCAUUGAUUUCCACAUUAAGCAGACCUUUACACUAAUGUUGUUCCCAGACACUGCUCGGAGAGCUUAUUGAUUGUGGUGGACAGCCAGACACCGCAGAUGUAUCCUUAAUCAUCAAGAGCAAAAUUAAACAUGUCCUUAUGAUAGCUGGGAAUCUAAUUAUAGUUAGAGUUUGGAGGGAGUAUGAGAUGAGAGUGUGGAGAGCCAGGUGAGACGGAUGCAGAUGGACCCUCUGGGCUCACAAUUCAAGAUAAUGAGUUGGGGUGAAUCACUUGAGGGCGCAAAACCACCAAUUUGAGUGUAAAGGUGUGGUUGGUCGCGCAUGGUUUGAAUCAUCUAAAGUUCUACUUUUUACAAUGGUAGAACUUAUUGGAUUUCUAUUUUUUUAUUUCAUCCCUGAAAAUCCAGCCCCACGUCUCUGGUGAUGUCACAAAACAACACAUAAACAUACAAUGACAACACUGUGGAAAAUGGCUGACGGCGGAUCAUGUGGUAUCUUGCAGUGAAUCUCUCCAUGCUGCUAUUUCCUCCAUGGUUGAUUUGCUGAUUACUGGAUUCAUCCGUUUGCCUUUCGGAGAGGCUUACUGCGAGCACUUGCUUUGCUUGCUUAUCUACGGGCAGUGUGACAGGUGUAGCUUCAUUUCAAGAGCUGUGCGUGCGUGAUUUCAUCCACAUCACUAGGCUUCUGUUUCCUUUCAGGAACUAUGAAGGGAGAUGUCACAUCACAUGUAUUGGUUAAAUGACCUGGCGGCCCUCCAUAUACCUUGGACACAACCCACAUGAUUUGGUUAUGCUCCUGCGAUGUAGACAAGCAUGUUCCACAGACAGCUUUAUUCACUUAACACUGUCUGUCAUCCUUCACAUCAAAGCAUCACCAUCAAGGAUUAUUGCAUUGGUUUCAAAGGUGCCUCUGUUUACUACACCCCGCGAUAUUAACACGGUAUAUCUCAUAUGCUUAGUACUUUAGAAUCACAGCACAGUGUUUUCUGUAAACAUGGGGUAUACGUGAAUUAAGAAAGAUGAACUACUCUUAGCAGAAAAAAAACUCCAAAAUGAACAUGAAAAACAUGUCCUGUAAUGUGUAAAAUGCACAAAAACACACUAUUCUCAGAAUCCAGUACAUUAAGACUGAAAAAUAAAAUGUGAGGAGUCCACUGCAGUCUCCAUGACAGCGAGAUCCGAAAGUGGGCGUCCAAACUAUUCACCAGGGAUUGGCCUCCACAGUGUGACCCUGAUCAGUGCAAUCAGAGGAACUAAGCUGCUCGCCUCCGUUGGCCUGGACCUGGAGCCAGGCUCUGAGAAGCCCCCCCUCCUCUGCUCCAGGCUACAGCCUUCUCAACGGCAUAUGAAGACACAGGAACACAGUGGACACACACACAUUGCAGCUUCUUGCUUGGAGUUUGGUGUGAAAUACAGUGAGCAAACUGUGUGGGACUGGCUUUGUGUAUACUGUACUUAGCUUUGUGUGUAGUUAAAACUGUUUGAUGUACACAAUAUAUAUGUGUCUAUAUCAUACAAAGAGAGGCCUGCAGAUGGGUUUAACAUUCAUGUUUACAUUAAAUUAUUAUAGGUUUCUAUCCAGCCACUGGCCUCUUUAUUAGGUACACCUGUUCACCUGUUUGUUUUGUUCAUACAAAUAUUGUAUCUAAUCAGUCAAUAAUAUGUCAGCAACACGAUGCAUGUUGGCAUGGACAUGGUAUUGAUGAUCUGCUCAAGUUCAAACAACAGAAAACAACUUCUGACCCACUUGGAUUUCCAUGGACAAAACAGCUCCUGGACAAUGCCUUGUAAAUGCCUGAGGUCAGAGGAGAAUGGGCAGACUGGUUCAAGUUGAUAGACCACACAUUACAACCAAGGUAGACAGAGGACCCUCUCUCGAAGCAGGUGGGCUGCAGCAGCAGAGGACGACACUGGACACUUAAUUAGACGUAUCUAAAGAAGUGAAUUAGAAUUUGUUUUCCGAUGCACAUGCACGAAUUAGUCAUUGUGAAUUUGCACUCACAAGUAGUGACCACUCACAAACUGGACGCAGGAACAGUGGGCAGCACUUACCUGCACCUCGGGGGCAAUGGGCAUUGGGUACCUUGCUCAGGGGGCACCCCAGCCCUUGACCUGUUUCGGGAUCUGUGCCGGCGACCCUCCUUUUACAGCCAAUUCCUGGUGUGGCUGGUGAUUGUAUGACCAUGACGGGUUUGCUGAUGCCACUGAGUGUACGUUUACUUUCAAACGUCUACUAUGUCUUGAUCAGGAAAAGUGAUGGAGGCAUGCCCAAUGGAUUGUUAGCGAGUGGGGUUGUUCCACUGAAUUGGGUGAUCGACAGGGGUGCAUUUCAACCCCCCGUCGAGGCGCAGUAGGAGGGUAUGUAAAGGUGACGUUCUGGGUCUCAGUGCCCACAAUACAGACCUCCCGGGGAGGGUAAUCACCAUGAGGCCAGCAGCAGUCAGCACAGCAGUGGCCCCUCGUCACAAAGACACUCCUCUCCAGAGACACUGGCUGCGCCUUUGUGCUCUCAUACACUCUGAGUGUGCCCACUCCAGGGGGGCUUGAGAGGCACCACAGGGUGCCCAUUAAACCCUUAGGAGUGGAGGACAGCCCUGACAACCUGAUAAACAAGUACACAAACAUACAAAGACACACAUGUACACACACUCAAGCACUCAAAGCCUACACAAAACCUACCUGUACAGUAUGUACACAAACGCUGUGAGAUGACAAAACAGGAGUAUUGUUUACCUGACAUCGGCGUUUGCCAUUUUUUUUUAAUCAUUGACUCCCUGACUGCUCACUCACUCACUCACUCGCUCACUCACUCACCAUGCCUUUUCAAUGUUUAUUGAAUAGUUCCCCCACUAACUGCCUCUGUUCUUCUUCAUUAUCUGUGGUCACUGACACAUAAUUAUGGUAAACACAGAUUGGAUGUUGUUUUGCAUGAAUAUGUUUAAUAUUUAAUCAGCGUGAUAAUGUUACAUCAUGAACCCAUUACCUAAAUAAGCAAUUAACUGCUGAAUUUUAUAUAUAAAUAAAAAAAAAGAUGGUGCAUAUUAGUUUGGGGCAGGGCCAGCUCACUCACUUAUCAUCAUUACUGACAAUUAGGCCUGUAGAGUAACAGAAUAAGAUACACUUCCCUAAGCUGCAGUCGAUAAUCAGGUGGUUUAAGUGCUUAAAGUUCUAGUGUGUAAGAAUUAGGGACAUCUAAUGGUGAGAGUGAGGACUGCAAAUGCACACAGUCAAACAUACGGCCCGUGGGCCAGAACCAGGCCACCCGAGGGUUCUGAUCCGGCCCACAGUACAAAUUUGUGACUCUAAUCAUAAUGUGAAGUAUAUUAUAUUUUUCAGUUCCAGAUAC